GACGAACGCUGGCGGCGUGCUUAACACAUGCAAGUCGAACGGAAAGGCCCCUUCGGGGGUACUCGAGUGGCGAACAGGUGCGUAACACGUUAGUAACCUGCCCUUGACUUCGGGAUAACUUCAGGAAACUGGGGCUAAUACCGGAUAGGAAUCCUUGCUGCAUGGUGGGGGUUGGAAAGCUUCGGCGGUUUUGGAUGGACUCGCGGCUUAUCAGCUUGUUGGUGGGGUAGUGGCUUACCAAGGCUUUGACGGGUAGCCGGCCUGAGAGGGCGACCGGCCACAUUGGGACUGAGAUACGGCCCAGACUCCUACGGGAGGCAGCAGUGGGGAAUAUUGCACAAUGGGCGGAAGCCUGAUGCAGCAACGCCGCGUGCGGGAUGACGGCCUUCGGGUUGUAAACCGCUUUCAGCAGGGGCGAAGCUUGUGGUGACGGUACCUGCAGAAGAAGCACCGGCUAACUACGUG
rnacentral:rRNA from 1 species